CUUCAAUAUCUGUACAGAUAUUUACAUAGUUCACAUACCACAGUUAGUAAAACAUUGGACACUGCGCAGAUGCCAAGUGUUAUCUCUUUUAUUAUUUUCAUAUUUCAGCCAAUGUAACAAUGCAUCAGGCCUCAGGGGGAAUGCCCCUCUGAUGUCUAUAUAACCUGCUUCACUUCCUGUAAUAAAUGAGAAUUUGCUUUGA